AUGAUGAGACGCGCUCGCGCCCCCACCCGGCAUGCAAACACUGUCUCCGACGACAAGAUGGUGAGCCGCGCUCGCGCCCCCACCCUGCAUGCAAACCAUGUCUCCGAUGACAAGAUGAUGGACAAGAACGAGAUGGCGCCGGUCCAGGGGGUGCCGCGCAUGCGAGGGAGCAUCGCGUCGUCAAGUGCGGUUGGUAAGUAUACUUUAUGCUGCUUUUUUUUGUCAACAUCGUCUCCGUGCAGGCUACACUGGCAAACAAGCUGCUUAACUCUUGUGCAUGCUGGUUUUUCGUCAUCACUAGUAUACUGGUAUUGGACUGAAGCUUGUUAG
rnacentral:rRNA from 1 species